UGGGUAGGCAGCUCAAAAGCUUAGUUGAAAAUGCCAACACCAGCAUCAGCAUUGCGAGCGAGUUUUGUCCACUCUGUGUGGUAGGAGCCUUGGCGAUCCACACGUUCAUAUGUAUGAGCCCCAAAUAGGUCUCUCUGCGCCUGCACAAGAUUGGCAGGCAGCCUGGCGCGCCUGUACGUAUCGAAAUAGGCAAGGCUAGCACACAUCCCCGGCGUGCUGAUCCCUGCCGAUAUGGCCAACCCGACAACCCUCCUCCAAGCAGCCUGCCUCUGCACCAUCUCUCUAGCAAACUCAGGAUCCACCAGCAAGCUUGCAAGGUUGGGAUUGCGCUGAUAUGCCUUCUUGAUCCUGUCCAAGAAAACAGCUCUUAUGAUGCACCCACCCUUCCAAAUCCUUGCCAACUCCCCCAAAUUCAAGUUCCAUCCCUUCUCCAAGCUCUUGGCCCUCAGCAAGUUCAUCCCCUGAGCAUAGCUGCAAAUCUUGGAGGCAUACAAAGCUUGCCUCACAUCUUCAAUCAACUUCUUCUUGUCAAUCCCACUCCUCACUGACCCCACGCUGUCAUUCAGCCCUGCUUCCUUCAACACCUCGGCUGCAUUCUCCCUUUCCUCCUUCAAUCCACUCAAGUACCUACAA
rnacentral:misc_RNA from 1 species